CCUCUCAUUGGCCGCCCGUGACGCCGCUCUGGCGCUCUCGCCGCUCUCGCUCUUAUCUCGCUCUCUUUCCACCGAAGCCGCCGACGAUAACUGCGCAGUAUAGUUUCAAGCGUUUCAAGUUGAAUAUCCUUUCUCCGUCUUUUCGGAAUGUGCUUCUUGUUCGUCCUGCUAUUUUUUCGUGUCAAAACUCCAGGACCUCAUUGUCUUCCAGACACCCAACAGACGUUCUUGAACAAAGUCAUCAAUUCCAUUGCUCCAGCCUAUGUCAAGUGGCCAACAUAUUGUUUGGAAUUGCUACAAUAAAGGUUAUGCAUGAUAACGACA